rnacentral:rRNA from 1 species
UACGUAGGUGGCAAGCGUUGUCCGGAUUUACUGGGCGUAAAGGGCGUGCAGGCGGUUUGUUAAGUGCAGGGUGAAAGCUCCCGGCUCAACUGGGAGAGGUCCUUGCAUACUGGCAGACUUGAGGGAGGCAGAGGAAAGUGGAAUUCCCGGUGUAGUGGUGAUAUGCGUAGAUAUCGGGAGGAACACCUGUGGCGAAGGCGGCUUUCUGGGCCAUACCUGACGCUGAGACGCGAAAGCGUGGGGAGCGAACCGG